rnacentral:rRNA from 1 species
ACGCUCGACACCUACGGUAGGCAGCAGUCGGGAAUAUUGCGCAAUGGAGGAAACUCUGACGCAGUGACGCCGCGUGCAGGAAGAAGGUUUUCGGAUUGUAAACUGCUUUAGACAGGGAAGAAAGAAAUGACAGUACCUGUAGAAUAAGCUCCGGCUAACUACGUGCCAGUAGCCGCGGUAAUCUGAGCGGGCUGGCAAGGC